rnacentral:tRNA from 1 species
GGCGACAUAGCCAAGUGGUAAGGCAUAGGACUGCAAAUCCCCUUUUCCUCAGUUCAAAUCCGAGUGUCGCCU